rnacentral:rRNA from 1 species
CCUACGGGAGGCAGCAGUGGGGAAUAUUGCACAAUGGGCGAAACCCUGAUGCAGCGACGCCGCGUGAGUGAAGAAGUAUUUCGGUACGUAAAGCUCUAUCAGCAGGGAAGAAAAUGACGGUACCUGACUAAGAAGCCCCGGCUACCUACGGGCCAGCAGCCGCGGUAAGACGUAGGGGGCCAGCGUUAUCCGGAUUUAAUGGGUGUAAAGGGAGCGUAGACGGCAGCGCAAGUCUGGAGUGAAAUCCCAUGGGUUAACCAUGGAACUGCUUUGGAAACUGGGGAGCUAGAGUGCAGGAGAGGUAAGCGGAAUUCGUGGUGUAGCGGUGAAAUGCGUAGAUAUUAGGAGGAACACCAGUGGCGAAGGCGGCUUACUGGACUGUAACUGACGUUGAGGCUCGAAAGCGUGGGGAGCGAACAGGAUUAGAUACCCCAGUAGUC